rnacentral:rRNA from 1 species
CCCCUAGGCGUUCUGGGCUGCACGCGCGCUACAAUAAUACGCACAGCGAGUAUCACCGAGCUCGAAAGGGCAAGGUAAACAAUAGAAAAGGUACUGUAAUGGUUAUAGAUCCUUGUAAUUAUUGAUCUUCAACGAGGAAUUCCUAGUAAGUAUGUGUCAUCAUCACGCACUGAUUACGUCCCUGCCCUUUGUACACACCGCCCGUCGCUCCUACCGAUUGGGUGAGCCGAUGAAACUCUCGGAUGUAGGCUAUUCAUAGCCCGCAGAAGAGAUUUGAAUCGUAGCGCUUAGAGGAAGGAGAAGUCGUAACA